AGAAACCACAGUAAGAUUAAAGGAAAAAGCGAAAAAAAGAUUGGAUGAAACAUAUAUACAUCAAUCUUUAGCUCCGAUACCAAGCCUGAUAAGCUUGCCAUUUGCUUUAAUCUCCCCUGUAUUUUGCUCAGGCUACAAGACUCUGAUUUCAGACAAAAAAUUGGAAAACAAGUAUGGACAAGUAUGGACAAGCUUGGCCACUAGCCAUUUGGUCCAGUGGCCAUCACCAUAAAAAGGUGAUGAUGGAGGUGCCAUCACCAUAAAAAGGUGAUGAUGGAGGUCAGGGGUUCAAUCCCUGCCUCCCACAAAUUUGCCACAUUUGUGGCGGUCUUAAUUGACCUUCAUCGAUGGAGUCUGUACUCACAUCGAACCCCAUCCUCUUCCCCUUAGACUAGGCUCGAACCCCAUCCUCUUCCCCUUAGACUAGGCUAGAUUAGGUUAUAGAACAUCUAUCGUUGCGACAAAAAAAAAAAAAA
rnacentral:lncRNA from 1 species